rnacentral:misc_RNA from 1 species
UGCAAAAUUAACAUGUUAGAUAAUAGAUAAAAAGACCAGAUUUCCUAGUACUUUCAUAUACCAAAACCUGGAUGGAAGCAUCAAAAUCAAUAUUGACAUAAAUGCUUAAACAACAUACAGAAAAUAUGAAAAGGAAAAACAACCAAGUUCUAUCAAUACUCCCCCAUUGGAAAUUUUCACUAGAAACUAUAGUGACUGUUCGGAGCCUUCAGCCACACAACAAUCUAAAGAAGGAUACAUAAAUCUGAAAAGAAAUAGACAAGUGCUAUUGCUAUUAAUUUCAUCACAGAAGCUCUCUACAAGAUUCUCAAAUGAUCUUAAUAGUUUUGGGCUGUCGGACACAACUUUCAUGCUGUAGUGAUAGAUAAGUUAAAAACAGCACUUCCAUAUCCUUAACUUCCAUAUCCUGUCACUAAUGAUCUGAGGGUGAUUGCUGUCGUUCUUCUGAUCCCUGCUGUGGCCAUAUCUGUUGCGCCAUAUAGGCAUGAGACUGCUGGGCAUAGAUCAUCCCAGGAGUUCCAACUUGA